AGCAGCCGCGGUAAUUCCAGCUCCAAUAGCGUAUAUUAAAGUUGUUGCAGUUAAAAAGCUCGUAGUUGAAUUUCGGGGUUAGUAGGUUGGUCAUGCCUCUGGUAUGUACUGGUCUCACUGAUUCCUCCUUCCUGAUGAGCCGUAAUGCCAUUAAUUUGGUGUUGCGAGGAAUCUGGACUGUUACUUUGAAAAAUUAGAGUGUUUAAAGCAGGCUAACGCUUGAAUACAUUAGCAUGGAAUAAUGAAAUAGGACGUUCGAUCUUAUUUUGUUGGUUUCUAAGAUUGACGUAAUGAUUAAUAGGGAUAGUUGGGGGCAUUAGUGUUCAAUUGUCAGAGGUGAAAUUCUUGGACUUAUUGAAGACUAACUACUGCGAAAGCAUUUGCCAAGGAUGUUUUCAUUAAUCAAGAACGAAAGUUAGGGGAUCGAAGACGAUCAGAUACCGUCGUAGU
rnacentral:rRNA from 1 species